GAAUUAAAUUUAUUGAUGUCGUCGUCAUAAACCUCACAUCAAACAUUUUGUUAAACCCUACAGGCCUACCCAUAUAGCGAGCUUUCGCACCUUAAAUUCACAUACGAAACCUCACUUAUCUUUAUUUAAAGACAAGAAACUCAGAAAAGAACCCAAUUUCGUCCAUUUCAUUGCUGAAAUAUACAGUGUUGAGUGGAAAAAAUGCCACCUUAUGAUUGUAUGUUGCUGGCGAAACCCCAUGUGAAAGCAGGAGCGUUGAUGGAGUUGGUAGCAAGAGUUGCCAAACAUGUCUAGAGUAGAAAUGGGGUUCUUACUGAAAUCAAAUCAUUUGGGACCGUACAGUUGGGCUAUGGUAUCAAGAAGCUCGAUGGAAGACACUUUCAGGGCCAAAUGAUGCAGUUGACUAUGAUGGCUACACCCAACAUCAACAAGGAGCUACAUUACCUGAACAAGGAAGAUAGGCUACUGCGUUGGCUUUUGGUUAAGCACACAGACAAAAUAUGGGCUGGAGUUUCUUAGUGAAGAAGAUGGAAAAGCUGAACUUAGCAAAUUUUCCCGAAGCAGCAUCUAUGACGAUGAGGAUCUUGAUGAAGAUGAUGACGAUUAUGAUGAAUAUGAUGCAGAGCAAGAGGAAAGAAAAGAAUAUGUUCAUCUUUUUUCUAGUAAGGUUGACAUCAUCUAUUUUUGUCAGUUAAGAGUAAUGAAAUUAUUUAAUUGUAAUUCUGCUGCCAGCUGAUAAUCUGUUGUGAGCUUUAAGUUUUGUUCUUUUAGACCUUUUUGCUUAUAUUUCAGCUACUAAACAAAAGGGACCUAAAGGCAACUCUUGUUCUGGGUCUCUCAUUUAUGGAAUCACUUGAUUGUAGACGUUUGGAAUAGAUAUAUGGUGAUAGGGCAUAUCAAAUC